AACUGUCUUUAGCCAGAUAGAAACAAUUUUUAACUAAAAAAUAUACAUAGAACAAGGCAAAAAUAAUCUAUGGUUCAAACUGAAGCAUGAUUGCCAAAUAUUAAAAUAGAAAAAAAAAAUUAAAAAUAAAAAAAAAUAAGUGAAGAAAUUUUUUACACACCUACAAUACAUGUAUAUACACCAAACACACAAAAUAUAUCAAAAAAAACUCUCUAUCCUUCUUUAGAGACAUAAAAUCCAUCUUCUCUAUGCCUUUCACUCUUUCCACACUCUCCACAUAUUUAAAUACACACACUCUCUUCUACACACUCAAACAUAC
rnacentral:lncRNA from 1 species